rnacentral:rRNA from 1 species
GAUGAACGCUGGCGGCGUGCCUAAUACAUGCAAGUCGAGCGAACGGACGAGAAGCUUGCUUCUCUGAUGUUAGCGGCGGACGGGUGAGUAACACGUGGAUAACCUACCUAUAAGACUGGGAUAACUUCGGGAAACCGUAGCUAAUACCGGAUAAUAUUUUGAACCGCAUGGUUCAAAAGUGAAAGACGGUCUUGCUGUCACUUAUAGAUGGAUCCGCGCUGCAUUAGCUAGUUGGUAAGGUAACGGCUUACCAAGGCAACGAUGCAUAGCCGACCUGAGAGGGUGAUCGGCCACACUGGAACUGAGACACGGUCCAGACUCCUACGGAAGGCAGCAGUAGGGAAUCUUCCGCAAUGGGCGAAAGCCUGACGGAGCAACGCCGCGUGAGUGAUGAAGGUCUUCGGAUCGUAAAACUCUGCUAUUAGGGAAGAACAUAUGUGUAAGUAACUGUGCACAUCUUGACGGUACCUAAUCAGAAAGCCACGGCUAACUACGUG